CGAUCAAUAUUUUUUGUGACCUAUGCUAGACCUUCCCUAGAUAUAUGGCCACAUAUAAAUCGCCAGUGUAUUUCAAUAUCAAUGAUUCCACUUUGACUGAUUGGAAUGAAAUAUUUAGCUUUACUGUCUGUUUAGCAAACUGAUGGUCGAGGGUAAACGAAUAGAACGUCAGAGGAUAAAACGACACAGGACAUAAAGUCGC
rnacentral:lncRNA from 1 species